ensembl:lincRNA
GAAACUGUGUGAUGGGUCAGACAGCCAGACCAUUCAUUUAACAUGAGCACGUUAAGACUCAUUUCAGUCACCAGGCAGCAGUUAGACUCUCCCCCACUCCGUGAGACAGACCAGCAGGGCCUGGCGGCGGGCCUCCCGAGCCUGCCUCGAGGACAGCUGCAGAACGAGACUGACUUGGUAUGGGCGUCACACCCAAAGAAAGCUACGGCCGGACAGAAGGUGGCUGCAAACACACACUUCAAGGCAGUUUCGGUGCAAGCAGUUGCUACAGGCCCUAGAGGCAGGGCCUCUGGCUGCCCUCCCCGCUUUGGCUUGGGCUACUGCGAGCCUGGGCUCCUCCCGGUCUCCGGGAGCCGGGUCUCCUCGCCAGGCCCUCCUGGGCCACAAGGCUGGUUUUGUUUGUAUGUAUGUUUGUCGUUGUUUGGCUUUUAUUUUUUGGAUGUGAUUAAAAAACCUUAAUAAGACCUACCAUUUCCAUGUGCCUGGUAUCCGUUUAACUGUUGAAUUAUUAACUCACGAAAUCCUCACAAAAGACAAAAAGUACCCUGGGUCAGCUUUGCUGUUUCCCUCCACUUUCUUUUCUUUUUUUUGACAGGGUCUCAAAGCCCGACUCCCCGUCCUCCCAAGCGGUGGGACUGCAGGCUUCCCCAUAACCCAGGCUCUCCUGGACUUUUUCACCUUGUAUUCGCAAUACAGCACAGGCAGAGGAGCACGGGACACACAUGCGAACUGCCUGUGGAACCGGCUCCCGGAGUAAGAAACAUCAGCCCCAAAGGGCAGAGCGCUUUCCUCCUCCUGUAGGGCAGACACCAUCAUUACAGCAGCUGCUAGCUACCGGGGUAGGUACUUGUAGGUGGACUCUUUCGUUUACACUAGUUUGCACAACAAUACAAAAGUUAUGUUUCUUUUCAUUCUCCCUUUAUCGGGGACCCGGCCGAGACCCCCAACUGCCUGUAGGAGGGGCCCGGGAAAAGGAUGAAAUAAGAAACAGGCAAAUUUAUAAUGCAUGAAGCGAGGCUGGAAGGUCCGUGCCUCAGGAUGGGCAGAGACCGAGCUCCGAGCCAGCUGCAGCCCAUGGGGUGGGACCAUGACCAUGACGGGAGGGGCUGGUGGGAGACUCGGGUGAGGACUCAUGCUGAGAAGGACCUUGCCCUGGGCAGUUUUUA